ACCGCCCACCGCCCGACCCCCCAGCCGGAAGUUGCAGGGCUGGCACCGGAAGGGGUAGGGUCGUCGUCCGGGUGACGCCUCUACGAUUGGCACCCAGACGCGGAGGCGGGAGGAGCCGGGACAGUUGCUGAGCUUUUGAGAGGAAGGACCUGUGCCACCAUGCCUGGAGGGAUUUGUCAAUCUUUUGAGAGCAACUAUCAUGGAUCCUGGUAGCAACACAGGCCAGCAAUCCCAGCACCAGGGAGACCAUGGGAGAUGGCUUGGAGUUCAGGGGCUGUCUGGGCUUCAGGGCGUGACCUACCGUAAACAGCAACCGCCAUCAUGACCCCCAAAGGAGAGAAAACCAGGGAAGAGACUCUGCCUCAGGGCCAUGGUCAGUGUCGCAUGCCAGAUUAGGUUUAGAGAGAGAGGAACACAAGUCUUCCUUCCCUGAGGCUGGGAUGGCAGACCUGUGCUCCCAGGCCUGACCCCAUGCCUGCCGCACAAAAGAAAUCCCCACUGAGACUCGAGAGGAUAUCAGUGUUCCCGGUGUGCUGCUCGCCCCAGCCCCCCAACCCCUCAAAGGCUGGCACUGCGCCUGCCCACAAGGGACUUACCUGCGUCUUCUGAGAGAGGGGUCAGAAGCGGAGGACCAACCUCCUGCUCUACCUCCUCCAUCCCCUCGUCCGCCUUCUCUUCCUCCUCCCCCAGCUCCUCUUCCUCCUCUGUCUUCUGCAUUGGGUUCACCCAUGUACAGCGCCCCUGGGGAUGGAACAGCAAAGUCAGGGGCCACCCUAAGACAGAGCAGAGCCGGGGUUGGGGAUUUAGCUCAGUGGUAGAGCGCUUGCCUAGCAACCGCAAGGCCCUGGGUUCGGUCCCCAGCUCCGAAAAAAAGAAAAAAAAAAAAAAAAAAAGACAGAGCAGAGCCUACUGUGGGAGAAGGUGGAGGGCCACAGGCCCCUAAAACAGUGGUCUUGUCCCUGUAGCGAGUGGCAGGCAGUCCCAGUUAUGUGAUAGCAACUGCCUUGGCACAGGCUUCUAUGGUGGACACAUUGUCCAUAAGGGGUGCCCAGGGACUGUCAUUCAGCAGUGGUAGGGUCACCUGUGCCUCCCUCACUGGAUGGCUCUUGGGCUCUGUCAAGCCAAUGAACACUCCUGUUGGUCUCUGUGUGUGUCUGUAUGUGUGUGUAUGUAGGUAUGCAUGUGUGUAUGUGUGUAUGUAUGUGUGUGAAUGUAUAUGUGUGCAUGUGUGUAUACAUGUGUGUGAAUAUAUAUGUGGGUAUGUAUGUGUAUGUAUGUAGAUAUGUGCAUGUGCGUGUAUUGUGUAUGUGUGUGUAUAUAUGUGUAUAUGGGUGUGCAUGUAUGUAUAUGUGUAUUGUGUGCAUGUAUGUGUGUGAAUGUAUGUGUGUAUGUAUGUGUGUAUGUGUGUGUGAAUGUAUGUGUGUAUAUGUGUGUAUGUGUAUGUAUAUGUAUGUGUGAAUGUAUAUACAUGUGUAUGUCUAUAUAUGUGUGUAUUAUGUGUAUGUGUGUGAAUGUACAUAUGUGCAUAUGUUUGUGUAUAUGUGUAUAUGUAUGUAUGUGUGUUAUGUGUAUGUGAGAGAGAGAUACUGACACAAGGGAAGCUUUUUACUGAUCUACAUUUGUUUUGAUUUUGUUGUUUUGUUUUUCCAUGCAGGGUUUCUCUGUAAACCAGGCUGGCCUCGAACUCCCAAAGCUCCACCUGCCUCUGGCUUCUGCGUGCUGGGACUAAAGGUGUGCGCUCCCACAUAGAGCCCUGUUGUUUUAAACACAGGGUCUUACUUAGUCCAUGCCCUUGAACUCCCUCCCUCUGAUCCAGCUCUUUGAAUAAUAAAUACAGGCAGGUACUCAGCAUCUAGCUACCUCCUGUUUUCUCCGCUAUGAAUGGGGAUCGGUCCUUGGUCACAAAAGGAGUUAUUUUAAGCAAGUGUGGUAGCUUAUGCCUGUGGCAGUGGUUUGCUGCUGCGGCUGCUGCGGCUGCUGUGUGAUGCUUAUCAACCUGAUACAAGUUAAAGUCAUCUGGGAAGAACGGACCUCAGCUGAGAAAAAGCCUCCAUCAGAUUGGCCUGCAAGCAAGUCUGUAGGGGAAUGUUCUUGAUUGACGAUUGGUGUGGGAGGGCUCAGCCCACUGUGGGUGAUGCUUUCCCUGGACAAGUGGUCUGAGGCUGUGUAAGAAAGUCGGCUGAUUCAAACCAUGGGGACUGAGCCGCAAGCAGCGCUCCUCCAUGGCCUCUGCUUCCGUCCUGUAUCCAGGCUCCUGCCCAGACUUCCCUCGGUGGAUAUGUAGCCAAAUAAACCUUUUCCUUCCCAA